ensembl:lncRNA
GGCGGAAAUGCUGGCUGUCCGUGUAGCAUCGCCUGGCACUGCCUCUGAGGGGGAGGAAAAAAGCCUUUCUGGAUUUAUUUUUUUCAGGCUUUUGGAGUGGAACGCUGGAACAAUGAGCAAGAGGCUUCUCUGGCGAAGGUGAAGUCCCGAACCAGGCAGAGAGGCCUGGGGGACACACCCCUGCUGUGUCCGAGGUGCCACAUGCUGUCGCUUGCUCUUUUGCCAGAACUGGACUUUCCCCCACCGACACCUGCUAAGCCACUUCUGUUCCCCAGAACUUCGCCUUUUUACCGCUGCUUCACCAAAGCCAGUUGCUGCUUCUUGUUUCCAC